GACAGAGGGUGCAAACGUUGUUCGGAAUUACUGGGCGUAAAGCGUGCGCAGGCGGCUUUGCAAGACAGCUGUGAAAUCCCCGGGCUCAACCUGGGAACUGCAUUUGUGACUGCAAGGCUAGAGUACGGUAGAGGGGGAUGGAAUUCCGCGUGUAGCAGUGAAAUGCGUAGAUAUGCGGAGGAACACCGAUGGCGAAGGCAAUCCCCUGGACCUGUACUGACGCUCAUGCACGAAAGCGUGGGGGGCAAACAGG
rnacentral:rRNA from 1 species